GUUCUGCUCGGCGUGCGCCCGGAAGGCGUCGUCUUCUCUUAAAAUGUAGGGUCAAGUAAUCUGCUCUUUAUCCGCGUUUACCCCUUUCAACUCCCUUACACCAUGUCAAACUUACCUUAGUGGGACAUCUUCACCGGACACAUUUCAGAGGAGAGAAAAAAAUUUCUUUUUUAGGUGAUUUCCUUCCUGCCAGGCUCCGUUGUAGGGGUUACAGAACAGUCGUUCCCGCCUCACAACCUGUGGAUACAGCUGUUGGGGCAGAAGAGACGGGACCAGCUGCUGGCCACAUUUCCUGCUUUAUUUUAAAAGGUAGUAUAAGAAAUGAGGAAAAAGAGGUAAUAUCAGGGCUUCUGCUGUUUUUUAUUUUUAACAUGUUCAUAAUUAAAAAGUAUUUUCCAGCAGUCCAAAGAUGUAAGUUAUCUUACACAUAAAAUGUUUUAUUUUGUUAUUUGGUUAUGAAAAUGGAAUCCUUGUUCUUGCACAACUGUAAAUGUUUUGUUGCUAGAUAAUACGAUUUGAGACCUGAAUUGGUCUUUGGUUUCCAGUGCAUCACAGCAUAUUUUGUAAAAUCAUCUACUACUGCACUUGAGCAUGAAUGGGUAGUAGCCAAACUCACAAAUUGGAGUGAUGAACCUGCUUAUACCUAAGGGCAGGAGCAAGCCCCUCACAAUGCAGCUGCAUGGGUUUUUAGUGCCUACUGAAUUAUAUAUAUAUAUACAUAUAUAUAUAUAUAUAUAAACCAAAA
rnacentral:lncRNA from 10 species